ensembl:lncRNA
UAUAUUCAGCUUGGUCCAAACCGUGAGGUUUAUUAUACUCAUGAAAAUACAGCAGCAUUAUCUCAUUACUCUAGAAUUUAUGUGCAAGAAUUAAAAGAAACAUUUGGAGAGCUAUUUAAAAUAGAUAUAAAUAUAUCUGCCAUGAUUAAAGAUAACUAAUUUAAUUUAACAGAAACUGUUAAAUAAACAGCAUGUUGUAAUAGUGGCAGAGUUCUAAUGCCAAUAAGCAAGGCUGCCAGAGGCUUUCAAUCAUAAGCUUCUGUAUUCAGAUUCUGAUUGCUCUGCCAAAUUUAAAUAAUUGUGGCUGGAUAUAUCCCUGAAAUAUUUUUUUUUCCUCAAGUUUUGAUUAAAGCAAACGUUUUCCUAAGUAGUUAAGGAAAAUAGCAUUGACCAGUUAAGGUUAAAUAGUUUUAUUAACAUUUUGCUUGAAAGCUUCCAUCUGGUGGCACAUGGGAAAUGGAAUUUAAAAUCUGCUUUGAGAUUUCCCUGGACUGAAGAAACUGCCUAUGCUGCUCCUCUGAAAUUGGCCUUAGAGGUUACUGAGGAAAAUGUCUCUGCCCACUGCAGUGCUUGUGAAAGCAGUGCUCAAAGAUUGUGAAAGCCAAAGAUCCUCCAAUGCUGAACAUGCCUUAUUCUGUCCAAGCACACGAAGAAAUAACCUUCCUCACUGGAGAUCUGAGUGGCUUCCCUCAGCAUGCUGGGGUCGCACUCCCUGUAAAGGAGUGCUGCUGGGAGCAGGGAUCUUGAGCAAGAAUCCCAGACAUGUGGAUUCUUCUAGUGUUGCCUCCUUCUGCUCUGUUACGAAACUGAAGGGAAAUCAUGGUCUGAGGAACAGCAACAACAGAAAAGUAAUACAUAAUAGAACAGGCCUGGGAAGUCUUCCUUUUAUUUCAGGUAAUGACCUUAAAAUAAAACCAUCAUAAGAAUAUCUAAGGUAAGAGACAGAAAAAAAAUCUGGAACCUGAAAACUACUGGAAGUGAAAUUGUUUCUUAGUAGCUACCAGUUCCAUGAAUGAAACCACAACAAUAUAAGAACAAGCUAGCUGGGUGAAUGUAAGCACUCAAUAUUUAAAGGCUGUUUUAGGACUUAAUGGCAGUAAAUGGAGAAUUAUUCUCUGAUUCUCUGAACGUAAGUGCUUUAAACUUGACAGUUCUUAGUCCAUGUUGCUAUAAUCUGAAAACUUAAUACCUCCCAAGACAAUCUCUCCCAUCUGAAUUUUCUUUAGGUGACAUGUUCUCCACCUUGCCCUUCCUCACAAAGAUGUUAAGAAGAAGAGAAAAUGCUGGGGACCUUUCUUCAUCUUUGAUCAGGAUAACAAUAUCUUAAUAGCACAACACUGAAUUUAGUUCCUUAGACUGAGAGAUGCAAGAAAGAAAUUGUAUUUUUUAAUUAUUUAACUGUAAAUCUGAUUAAAGCCUCCAUCUCAUAGAAGCCAUGUCAUAAGAAACAAAUGGAAACAAAUUUUAGCUUAUUAUUACAUGCAAUUAUUACAGAUAAUUGUUUUCCAAGUCUAAUACCUCUUCAAGCUCAUUGAACCCAGCCUCUCUUUUUUAAAACAAAGGUAAAGCUAUGAAAAUUUUACAUGUUUCUGCUAUAAACAUAGAGGAGACAGUAAAACUUACAAAUGCAAUUUUAAUUAUAAGUUUUAAUAAGUUUCAAGAGCUCUAUUUUAGAAAGGGAUAAGAAGCAUAAAUAUUUCAUUUUGCUUCUAGGCGAAUGUAGCUAAAUAAUUGUUCCAUUUCUUAACACAGAUUUGAAGGACCUUAUCAGGUUACAGGGAACGGUUAUCAUAGAUUGAAAGGUGAAAUAUAUGUUUUAAUUAAAUCCAAGAAUCUGCUAUAAUAGUGCCUAAAAUAAAAUCAGUUUUCUAAACCUCCAUUUUUGAAAACAAAAUCACAAAUCAGAUAUCCAAAGUUUUUUUUUUUUUCUUUCAUGAAUAUGCUUUGAAUGUUUCAAUUUGUCAUUUGAUAGGAGUUUAUGUUUUGCUUGUAGUUCACUGACGAAUGGUAAUCAUAUACUCCAGACUCACAAUCUCUUCAGAGUGAAAACAAAGUAUUCCAGUAAUUUAUGGAUCUUUGUAGUGAAAGUUUGUUUUUGUUUUUUUUUAAAAUGUAUUGUGAGACAUAUCUUAAAAUUCUCAUAUGGCAGUGCUGCAAAGUUUGGGAACACUCAUCUUGGGAGGGUGGCAGACUUCAGGAUGAAGUACCGUUUGCAGUAUCCCUUUGGCUUCAUCACAACGUCAACUUUGGAAUUCUGAUUUCAGGAAAUACUUUGUGGUUGUACAAGCAAAUAAAUAAAUACUGGUUUUAAUAUGACUUGCAUUUAGUGUUCUGUGAAGCGAAGAUCAAACCUAGUAAAGCAGAAAUAUUUUCAAAAAGUAUAUAGCAAACUACAAUGACAGAAACAACAAAUAGACUAUCUUAAAAGUGAGGCUAGAAGGCCUUGCAAGAAUUUUAAUAUCCUUAUG